rnacentral:misc_RNA from 1 species
GAUGAAGAACGUAGCGAAAUGCGAUAAGUAAUGUGAAUUGCAGAAUUCAGUGAAUCAUCGAAUCUUUGAACGCACAUUGCGCCCGCUAGUAUUCUGGCGGGCAUGCCUGUCCGAGCGUCAUUUCAACCCUCAAGCCCCCGGGCUUGGUGUUGGGGAUCGGCGAGCCUCCGCGCCCGCCGUCCCCUAAAUCUAGUGGCGGUCACGCUGUAGCUUCCUCUGCGUAGUAGCACACCUCGCACUGGGAAACAGCGCGGCCACGCCGUUAAACCCCCAACUUCUGAACGUUUGACCUCGGAUCAGGUAGGAAUACCCGCUGAACUUAAGCAUAUCAAUAAGCGGAGGA